GGAAAAGUAAACUAAGUUGAAGUUUUUUGGUUCAUGCCCAAAGUAUAGAGCUAAUAGCUCUCUUUUCUU
rnacentral:tRNA from 1 species